CUAUUUAAUAGUUAAAACUUUCAACAACGGAUCUCUUGGUUCUGGCAUCGAUGAAGAACGCAGCGAAAUGCGAUAAGUAAUGUGAAUUGCAGAAUUCAGUGAAUCAUCGAAUCUUUGAACGCACAUUGCGCCCUCUGGUAUUCCGGGGGGCAU
rnacentral:rRNA from 1 species